UUUCUUUGUGUUUUUUUCUUUUCUUCAAAACAUUGGCAAAGUUAUUUCUUGACCCUCACUUGGUCACUCUAAAAGCAAAGCACACGCCGAACUCCUCCGCCAUCUCUUCAUAAUCAAAUUUGUGAGUGGUCUCAAUAUGGCUAUUUCCACGACGUUUUCUUCACAUGGAUUCCAUGGGAAAAUACUUGUGUCAUCUCAUAGGAAGAGUUACUCUAACUUUGGAGGCAAUAAUGUAUGGUUAAAGCAACCCGUGCACUGUAAAACUGUUUGUUUACUUGCCGACACAUCUAAAUUACGGUCAUCAUUCUCUGUUGGACUGUUCAACAAGGGACGAAAUCAGUGUGUUAUGUCAAUGAAUAACAGCACAAUCCAAUGCUCUGCAUUGGAAAUGGAAAAUAAGUCUUCAACUAUGGUGGGGAAUAAGUUUCAGCUUGAUGAUGUAAUUGAAUCUCAGCAGUUUGAUAGAGAUACUCUCAGUGCCAUAUUUGAAGUGGCACGGGAGAUGGAGAAAAUUGAGAAGAACUCGAAGGGAAGCGAGAUUCUUAAGGGUUAUCUUAUGUCCACUCUCUUCUAUGAACCUUCAACUAGGACUAGGCUUUCAUUUGAAUCUGCCAUGAAGCGUUUGGGUGGGGAAGUAUUGACAACGGAAAAUGCUCGUGAAUUUUCAUCUGCAGCAAAAGGGGAAACGCUUGAAGAUACAAUUAGAACUGUUGAAGGGUACUCCGACAUCAUUGUUAUGAGACAUUUUGAAAGUGGUGCUGCUAGAAGAGCCGCAACCACGGCAAGUAUUCCAAUCAUAAAUGCAGGAGAUGGUCCUGGACAACACCCGACUCAGGCCCUUCUAGAUGUGUAUACCAUCGAAAGAGAAAUAGGAAAACUCGAUGGUAUUAAAGUUGCUCUUGUUGGUGAUCUAGCUUAUGGGAGGACAGUUCGUUCACUCGCUUACUUGCUUGCGAAGUACCAAGAUGUGAAAAUUUACUUUGUAUCCCCUGAUGUAGUUAAAAUGAAGGAUGACAUAAAGGAUUAUUUGACAACAAUGGGGGUUCAGUGGGAAGAAAGUGCUGACCUGCUGGAGGUGGCUUCUAAAUGUGAUGUGGUUUAUCAAACUCGUAUUCAAAGAGAGAGAUUCGGAGAGAGGGUUGAUUUAUAUGAAGAAGCUCGAGGGAAGUAUAUCGUGGAUAUGAGUGUCUUAAAUGCUAUGCAGAAACAUGCAGUAGUGAUGCAUCCUUUGCCAAGGCUCGAUGAGAUAACUGUUGAUGUGGAUGGGGAUCCGAGGGCUUCCUAUUUCAGACAAGCUAAGAAUGGUCUCUACAUUCGGAUGGCUCUUUUGAAGCUUCUACUCCUCGGUUGGUGACAGAUGCAAACUUUUUAUAUCUGGAAUAUUGCGAAACCAUUGCUUGUUAUCCAUUUGGGUAUGGUCGUGUUAUGAGACGGCGUUGUUCAUACACUCCGGUGGCAAAGGUGGUGGCCGCGGCUAAAUUAUAGCAACAUAGUUCGACUCUAUCCUUGAGUUCUCAUUGUAAACCACGAACUCUAUGACUCUAUCCUUCGAGUUCUCAAUUGUAGUAUCUCUAUUUGUGACUUCUCAAUUUUAGAACUACGAACAGUAUGACUCUA